GCAAGCUUUAGUUCUCCAUGUGGGGGAGAUAACUUGAGAAAGGUGAAUAAAGUGCUGAGGAGGCAUCAGACAGGACAGAUAACUUUUUCCUCCUGGAAAAUAUAUACCUUGGAUAAUAAGAUCCAGGAAGACACGGAGGGCAUCAUCACCAUCAGAUGAGAGGAUGGAACGAGACAGGCAGGAGGAGUUGAACAUCAACACUGAACCAAAAGCAGGACGGGAAACACUAGGAGUGGAUGGGUGAACAGUUACCAGUGUCU